AGUUGAAGGAAAUAAGGAAGAAGGGAGAACAUUUACUGAACAGCAACUCCAACACAGUCACGUAAGAAAUUAAUUUCUUUAGUCCUACUCAAAGAUAGCAAUUAUGAUUCUUCAGUCCCUCAUAUGUAAAAUACAAUUUUCUCAUCAAAUAUUUAAUAUUUUUCUGUUAAACUGAAUUUAAUACUAUCAGAACAAUUAACACAGCAAAACAGACUUUCAUUUGACCAUACAGCAUCACACAAUAUGCAACACAUUAUUUUCAGAUAUCUUUAUAUAAAAAAGGGUUGAUAUCAACAUUUUUAAUGACAGAUAAUAUACAAUAUUGAGUUAUAAACAUACAAGCAUAGUAAUAAUAGCUAAUCACCUUUUAUGUGCCAAGUUUCCAUCAAAUAGCCUUUUAUUCAAAAAUAGAAACACAAAAGUAGUUAUCUUUAAAAACUGCAUACAGAAGUUAUAAUCUGCAUUCUGUUUGCAGUAACUGAAUUGGAAUUUAAAAGGCAUUCUCAAGUCAGUCUCGGACAGCGCGCCUGCAGCCCAGCUGGAAAUGCUGUCCAGUUCAGUCACGCGCUGCUUGUGUUUUUGUGUGGUUCAUCAUGUGUUUAGAGGAUAUUCUCAGGGAAAAUCCGCGACAAUGAACUGACAUCAAGCACAUUCACUAUUAAACACAUUCAGCGUUACACAAAGUAGGCCUACAGCAACAGCUCAGUAUUGUGCUCAAACGUUUCAGUAAACACAAAUGUUGGUAAAACCGCGUGCAACAAACAAAUAGACACUAUCCCAUUCACUUGAACAACCUUUCAGUGUCAAUGCAAUCCGUUUCAGACUGGUAGCUACUGUCAGUGUUAAUCACUUCAUUCUAUAUUUUCAUUGCCAAUACAUCAUAAAAAAAGUCUUGUUUAAAAUGACUCCAUACAGGCGAUAUUUAGUGGCACCAAUUUCGCGACCCACGAACAGAUUGUGCAGACUAAAGCAAUAGGCUAGUUUAUUCAUUAAUCGCGUAAACAAAUCCCAUCACUGUAAGAGAGAUGGUUAACUCUUUAUCUUCAUUCCUAAUGAUAUAAAGUUGUCGCAUUGCAUUCCCUUACGCGUAAAGUUAUGAUAAACGCGGGUGAAUAAGCGCUCAAAUAACAGGCAGGGGACGUUUGUUGACGGCACGUCCCCUUGUUUAACCUCCAUACAUUUGAGUAACACACCACGUAUAGUCAUCUGAACAUACUGUAUGUCUGAAUGAGGCUCUGGAGCGUUUGGUUUAUCCAAGGCGAUACGUCAUUGCGAGCUGCAGCGAUUGGCUGGAUUCCGCUCCUUUUCCUCCACAAUUUGCAACCACGAUCGGUCUUCGCCUCCGGAGCAGCGACAUUUCACAGUAGAGAGUCUGGCGUAGCCACAGCUGAAGCCCCCCUUCCACUCAUCCUGGACGACGGAGUGGCUUACGAGGUCCGAGAAAUCCCGGAUUCCCGGCGCCAUGGUGGCCAACUUGAGUACCUAGUGGACUGGGAAGGUUAUGGUCCUGAGGAAUGUUCCUGGGUUCCACGCAACGACAUACUCGACCCGAAUUUACUGGACACCUUCCAUGCAACUCAUCCCGACAGACCUGCCCCUCGAGGAAGAGGAAGACCACCACG
ensembl:lncRNA